rfam:Candidate division WOR-1 bacterium RIFCSPLOWO2_02_FTLL_46_20 rifcsplowo2_02_scaffold_22345, whole genome shotgun sequence.
GGGGCUGUAAGGGUUUUGACGGGAAGAUGUGGUGGUAAUAGUCGCGAGCCGAGGAUGCUAACCUCUCCUCGUUAAUCUCAUGUUAGCAACUCUCUAAAUGCAGAUGUUAAACAAGCAUUAGCCCAUGUUGACUGGAGCGCGUUUGGAGUGAAAACUCCUGCGUUUGCCCAGCCAGCUAUGGCAAUAGCCGCUUAAUUAUUUAAGCGGCGCGUCUCCUGACUGCCGCCAUUGUGGUCAGGGUCAGACGUUAUUUAAUGGCUGCUUAAUCGGUCUUUUCCGUUUGGCUGGUUAAAAAGACUUACAGCGGAUAGCGCGGAGAGCAACCUGGCUUCGGGUUAAACUCCGGGCGAAAUAUUAGCAGAAGCUACGCUCGUAGUGACUUUUAGCGCUGCCUUUUCGGACAGGAGUUCGACUCUCCUCAGCUCCACCA